GAUGAACGCUGGCGGCGUGCUUAACACAUGCAAGUCGAACGGUGAAAGCGGAGCUUGCUCUGCUGGAUCAGUGGCGAACGGGUGAGUAACACGUGAGCAAUCUGCCCUUGACUCUGGGAUAAGCGUUGGAAACGACGUCUAAUACCGGAUACGAGCUGCGAAGGCAUCUUCAGCAGCUGGAAAGAACUUCGGUCAAGGAUGAGCUCGCGGCCUAUCAGCUAGUUGGUGAGGUAACGGCUCACCAAGGCGUCGACGGGUAGCCGGCCUGAGAGGGUGAGCGGCCACACUGGGACUGAGACACGGCCCAGACUCCUACGGGAGGCAGCAGUGGGGAAUAUUGCAUAAUGGGCGCAAGCCUGAUGCAGCAACGCCGCGUGAGGGACGACGGCCUUCGGGUUGUAAACCUCUUUUAGCAGGGAAGAAGCGAAAGUGACGGUACCUGCAGAAAAAGCACCGGCUAACUACGUGCCAGCAGCCGCGGUAAAAC
rnacentral:rRNA from 1 species